UGUUACAUAAACAUCGUCCGUGUCAUCUUUCGACAAUAGAUAUACAAAAUUGGCGCCUAAAAAUUUGACGAGUUAUUCAUGAACUAAACCGCACACUCUCCUUACUAACGUAAAAUUAAGAGAAGUGAAAAAAAGAGUUUCUUUUUAAUUCAUACGUUUUUACAAAGCAAAGUAAUUAUGCAUUGCGCGUAAUUCGCAAAAAAACUCGUCUAAAGAACAGCGAAACAAAUAAAAAAGAAACCUUGACUUCUUACAUAAUUGCUUCACAUUUGCGCAUUAUCGUUAAAUAUUGGUAUGGAUGCGUCGAAGUGAGAUAUCAACCUUAUCGAAAGAAUAUUUUUGAGAGGAGCAAACAUUUUUCUUCUUUAUCAAAUCUCAACGCAAUAAACGUAUCUCAAUAAAAAUUUUACUACUACAAUUUUGUUUUUAUAACAAUGAUAAACGUAUAAGCGCGUAGGAAAAUGAGGAGGAAGAAUAGCAACGUAAAUUCGUAUUAGUACGCGCGCGAGGUAGAGCGUUAAGCCACGCGGUUAUGAAGAAAUUCCGUAACGUAACGGUAUCCGUACAAGGGUCAUUCGCCGCGCACCAAAGACCGGCCGGGUUCUCGGUUUCUCGUUUAAACGUGCUCGAAAAAAGAAAAAGAAAACCGGAAAGAAAUCCUUCAGGCAAUUAAUCGACGAAUGCAAAAUGAAUUGAUCACCGUGAAUCGCGCGCUGUCGCGAUGUUAAGACUCGAUGAGCGCUCAAAAGUUAUUUGCGAGCAAGUUGCAAAUUUUUUUCGUCCGUUUCCACCUGUGUGAAUUGUCUCCAAUCUCAGUUUGUAAUUUACGCUUUAUCUUUCUCCGAUUUUUAAAGAUUCCUGAGAGAGAUAAAGUGAACCGAUAAAAUUAAUCUGGCGAAAACGGACGUUCGCAAAUUACGCGCAUCAGAAAGGGCGUAUCAAAAAGAAAAAACAAAUUCAAAAGGAAGAAGCUUCGGCGCGUAUCGAACAAUCGAAAUUGUUUGCACAGGCGCGUUGUCAUUAAACUUAUCUACUGCGUAUUGCGUUUCGGGCAAUGUGAUAUGCGAAUUGCGCAUCUACCACGUGCUGAUGCAUGCGUUUCGCACACAUCUUUUUCUUUUAAUCGCGCUUAUCUCGCGUGCGAUACAAAGAUAAAAUUCAUUUUAAAUAUUUCAGGCGAUCAGAUCGAUCGAGCGAUCGAACGGAUCGAAUGCAAUACGGACAAUCGUUCUAGCGACUCGAGGUUAUAAUGCGCGAAACCACGUGGGUAAUCGGCGCACCAUAUGUUAAAAGUGACACAUGGGCAAAAUUGUCUCAAAGAGAUGCAUCAUUCGCCUCCGGAACGCUGUCUGUGAAAUAAUUCUCGCUAAGACCUAGUUUUCAAAAGAAUAGGACGUUAAUUAAUGUUAUCGUUAUAUCUGAUAGCGGUUCCUGCGUUUUUAAACGACAUAGUUUUCACAAUGAUUCGUUAUAGCCUCUGUCCUUCGAACGAUCUGUUUUGAUAAAAAUUAUAGAUUGUUCAGAGCUUAGUAUUGCAAUGAAAACGAUAUAGUAUGCAAUAAAAAAUGAGUAAAUAAAUAAAGAACUCUACUCUUGGCGUCUGUGAGAGCACAUGGCAUAUGCUUGUACCAUAUGUUGACAUGAAUUAAAAUUUCAAACCAAGUGUAUCAAGAUUGAGCAAUGAAGCGCAGAAAUGUUACUGCAACGAUUAUUAUUGAAAUCACAAUUUUAAACAUAUUAUUAAUUGAAAUAACUAAUGCCAAAACUCCUGUCACAUCACAUUAUGACUGCUUGUUGAACAGGUUACAUUGUAUAAUAAAUAUCCAAUAAAAAAUAAUCAUUCUCUG